AUACGUAGGGGGCGAGCGUUGUCCGGAAUGAUUGGGCGUAAAGGGCGCGUAGGCGGCGCGGUAAGUCUGGAGUGAAAGUCCUGCUUUCAAGGUGGGAAUUGCUUUGGAUACUGCCGCGCUUGAGUGCAGGAGAGGUUAUCGGAAUUCCCGGUGUAGCGGUGAAAUGCGUAGAGAUCGGGAGGAACACCAGUGGCGAAGGCGGGUAACUGGACUGCAACUGACGCUGAGGCGCGAAAGUGUGGGGAGCAAACAGGAUUAGAUACCCUAGUAGUCCACACUGUAAACGAUGAAUGCUAGGUGUAAGAGGUAUCGACCCCUUUUGUGCCGGAGUCAACACAAUAAGCAUUCCGCCUGGGGAGUACGGCCGCAAGGUUGAAACUCAAAGGAAUUGACGGGG
rnacentral:rRNA from 1 species